rnacentral:rRNA from 1 species
UAGCAUAUCAAUAAGCGGAGGAAAAGAAACCAACAGGGAUUGCUCUAGUAACGGCGAGUGAAGCAGCAAUAGCUCAAAUUUGAAAUCUGGCGUCUUCGACGUCCGAGUUGUAAUUUGUAGAGGAUGCUUCUGAGUAACCACCGACAUAAGUUCCUUGGAACAGGACGUCAUAGAGGGUGAGAAUCCCGUAUGCGGUCGGAAAGGUGCUCUAUACGUAGCUCCUUCGACGAGUCGAGUUGUUUGGGAAUGCAGCUCUAAAUGGGAGGUAAAUUUCUUCUAAAGCUAAAUAUUGGCCAGAGACCGAUAGCGCACAAGUAGAGUGAUCGAAAGAUGAAAAGCACUUUGGAAAGAGAGUUAAAAAGCACGUGAAAUUGUUAAAAGGGAAGGGAUUGCAACCAGACUUGCUCGCGGUGUUCCGCCGGUCUUCUGACCGGUCUACUCGCCGCGUUGCAGGCCAGCAUCGUCUGGUGCCGCUGGAUAAGACUUGAGGAAUGUAGCUCCCUCGGGAGUGUUAUAGCCUCUUGUGAUGCAGCGAGCGCCGGGCGAGGUCCGCGCUUCGGCUAGGAUGCUGGCGUAAUGGUCGUAAUCCGCCCGUCUUGAAACACGGACCAAGGAGUCUAACAUCUAUGCGAGUGUUCGGGUGUCAAACCCCUACGCGUAAUGAAAGUGAACGGAGGUGAGAACCGCAAGGUGCAUCAUCGACCGAUCCUGAUGUCUUCGGAUGGAUUUGAGUAAGAGCAUAGCUGUUGGGACCCGAAAGAUGGUGAACUAUGCCUGAAUAGGGUGAAGCCAGAGGAAACUCUGGUGGAGGCUCGCAGCGGUUCUGACGUGCAAAUCGAUCGUCAAAUUUGGGUAUAGGGGGCGAAAGACUAAUCGAACCAUCUAGUAGCUGGUUCCUGCCGAUCU